rnacentral:rRNA from 1 species
AUUGAACGCUGGCGGCAUGCUUUACACAUGCAAGUCGAACGGUAACAGGGUGCUUGCACCGCUGACGAGUGGCGAACGGGUGAGUAAUGCGUCGGAACGUGCCGAGUAGUGGGGGAUAACGCAGCGAAAGUUGUGCUAAUACCGCAUACGUACUGAGGUAGAAAGUGGGGGACCUUCGGGCCUCACGCUAUUCGAGCGGCCGACGUCUGAUUAGCUAGUAGGUGAGGUAAAGGCUCACCUAGGCGACGAUCAGUAGCGGGUCUGAGAGGAUGAUCCGCCACACUGGGACUGAGACACGGCCCAGACUCCUACGGGAGGCAGCAGUGGGGAAUUUUGGACAAUGGGCGAAAGCCUGAUCCAGCCAUGCCGCGUGUCUGAAGAAGGCCUUCGGGUUGUAAAGGACUUUUGUCAGGGAGGAAAUCCCUAGCGUUAAUACCGCUGGGGGAUGACAGUACCUGAAGAAUAAGCACCGGCUAACUACGUGCCAGCCGCCGCCGUAAUAC